AUUGAACGCUGGCGGCAGGCCUAACACAUGCAAGUCGAACGAGUGGCGGACGGGUGAGUAAUGUCUGGGAAACUGCCUGAUGGAGGGGGAAAACUACUGGAAACGGGAGCUAAUACCGCAUACUAUCAGAUGUUCCCAGAUGGGAUUAGCUGGUUGGUGGGGUAACGCCUCACCAAGGCAACGAUCCCUAGCUGGUCUGAGAGGAUGACCGGCCACCCUGGAAUGUAGACACGGCCCGUACUCCUCCGGGGGGAACCAGUGGGGAAUAUUGCACAAUGGGCGCAAGCCGGAUGCAGCCAUGCCGCGUGUAUGAAGAGGGCCUUGGGGUGUUAAAGUACGUUCAGCGGGGAGGCGUUACCCGCAGAGGAAGCACCGGCUAACUCCGUGCCAGCAGCCGCGGUAAUUC
rnacentral:rRNA from 1 species